CAUCUUUCAGCAACUGAUUCCCUGUGGCUGUUGCUUCCCUAGUCGCAUUUUCUGCCUCCAUCACAAGAGGACACAUCCUGCUUUACCAGGGAAUGCCAAGACAAGCACCGACUGCCAGCAAAACGGGGUCCCAAUCUGAAGAGUUGAGGAAGAAUCCCACCCCAGAGAGGUAAAAGCUUGUGAUCUGUCACCUGGAGGGGUUGCACUCAGAGACUGCGAGGGCUGAAAGGUGCUGCUAGCCCUGAAUUGUGACAGCAGGUUGCUAGGUGAGUAGUGAUUUUAUCGAUGUUGCACCACCAGUUAGGAAAAAAAAAGUAGUGGGUCACAUUAUCCCAUAGUGUAACAUCAUUGUCUUCGGUAGGUUUACACCUCAGACUGCAGUGAAUUUGGCCAGUAUUUUGAAACCUUUUGUUUUGAUGGAUCCCUAUUGAAAAGAGGGUCUUGGGCAAAAAACACCUCCAGCAAUACUACAAGCAAGUCGCCUUUGAAAUGCUGGUGCAGCCAUCACACAGAAGUUGGAGCAGGGACUAACAGCUGCCCAGCUGCAUGAAAAAAAUCAAAACCUACUUGCAACCUACCAGCUCACCCACACGGGAUGGAGACAACCUCUGAUUGUUACCUGCUUAUUCUCCAAAAGGUUCUUGUCACUUGCAACAGUGCUGUGAUCCCCAUCACCAGUGAAGAUGUACCCUGGAGGUAAUAAUAGAUGGAUAGGGAGAAAAACUUGAAUCACAAAAUAAGGACAUCUGGAAGAAAGGAUUUCAGAGGACCUAGUAAUGGAGACACAAAGGAUGAAAAAUAGUUUGAAGGAGAACAACAAGGAAAACAAGAUGCAGCAGGAUAUGGGAGGAAAAGUAGGAAAUAGGAAGACUAAAGGAAAAGGAGGGAAAAGAACAUUGAGCUUGAUAUUCAAAAGGGUAGAAGCUUAGGGCCAAUUUCUCACCUAACGUGCACCUGCAAUCCCUGUGAAUUGCUCAUGAUACUGAACACCUACUUGCUCUAAUAUCCAUUUAUGCAUUUUGUAUGAAAAUUAGGCUUGUAUUUGCAUACAUAUUUUCUCCACAUGACCCUGGACUUCUGCCUUUUUGAAAAUCAGGUCCAGCACAGUGGUUUUCUUUUCUUUAAGUUCCAUGGUAAAUUCUCUUAUGCAUCUGCUUUUAAUCUAUGGCAUCAUGGUGAUUUAGUCACUGCUACCAAAAAAACCCAAAUCCAAAAACAAACAACCUGAACAUUUCCCUGGUUUUUGGCUAUCUUAGUUUCUUCUCCAGUCUGGCCUCCUUUUGAGGCCAUUGAUCCCCCUCAAUUUAAUUUGGAUAAAUUGACAGGCAUAAAUCUUUGUUUUACUUUCUCCAGAUCCUAAUCUCCCAAAGGGUCGAGGUUGCUUGGCUCUGGGAUUUUGGUUUGGAUCUUUCGGUAAUAGUAAGAUACUCAUACAGUCAUUUACAAAUAUUUACAUAUUGAUAAGAUCUGUGUUUAAUUUCUUCACAUUACCUUCCUACUGACCUCUCCCGCUACUCAGCCACCAACACAUCCCCUUUGCCCCUCUCUGCUUAUUUCUCUGUGGCUACUCCUUCCUGUCCUAGCUCUCCACAACCCCACCUUCCCUUUUCUGGCAGCUUGUCUCUUCACAAAUGGUAUGGCCAGGCCUGAGCCGAAGCCUGUGCAGUCUCUAGGCACAAGUGGGAGUGUUAAGGAGACACUGUGUUUUGCCAAAAUGGUUGUUGGUAUUGCAUUUCAGGUUGCCUUAAUGCUUGGUCUGUAAACUCAAAUUAAUUGCUGCCUGUAGCCACUAGAUGUCACUAGAGCAUCAUUAACUGUUCUAAUUUUUUGUUUACCUAAUUUUUGUUUGUUUUUUUACUAUAUCACUACAGCCAUAGCACCAUCUAUUUGAAAUUCAUGUUUGUGUCUGAAAUUGUUGUACCGUCACUAGUUACAGGCAACACCCCAGGUUAAUAGAAGUGAAAGAAGUUAGGGAUAAACAUUAUUUCCCUCUCUUUUCCCAGUUUGUUCCCUUGUUUGCAUUUGACAGAACUUUAUGUAUAGUCCGUUUCUGUUGUCUCCCUUGUACACUCAGGUAAAUAGUCAAUUUCACGCUGGUUGAAAUGAUCUAUUAUGAUUAGACCUGUACAAAUAUUUUUAAAGAAAAAUUCAGGACAAA